rnacentral:rRNA from 1 species
UAACACGUGGGUACCUACCUUGAGGUGAGGAAUACCACCGAGAAAUCGGUGACAAGACCGCAUGACUUCGGCAACGAAGAAAGCUUCUCUUCGGAGAGGCGCCACAAGAUGGGCCUGCGCCUGAUUAGCUGGUUGGUGAGGUAAAAGCUUACCAAGGCGUCGAUCAGUAGCUGGUCUGAGAGGAUGAUCAGCCACACUGGGAUUGAGAACGGCCCAG